rnacentral:rRNA from 1 species
AUUGAACGCUGGCGGCAUGCCUUACACAUGCCAGUCGAACGGUAACAGGUCUUCGGAUGCUGACGAGUGGCGCACGGGUGAGUAAUACAUCGGAACGUGCCCGAUCGUGGGGGAUAACGAGGCGAAAGCUUUGCUAAUACCGCAUACGAUCUACGGAUGAAAGCGGGGGAUCUUCGGACCUCGCGCGGACGGAGCGGCCGAUGGCAGAUUAGGUAGUUGGUGGGAUAAAAGCUUACCAAGCCGACGAUCUGUAGCUGGUCUGAGAGGAUGAUCAGCCACACUGGGACUGAGACACGGCCCAGACUCCUACGGGAGGCAGCAGUGGGGAAUUUGGACAAUGGGCGAAAGCCUGAUCCAGCCAUGCCGCGUGCAGGAUGAAGGCCUUCGGGUUGUAAACUGCUUUUGUACGGAACGAAAAGCCUCUUUCUAAUAAAGAGGGGUCAUGACGGUACCGUAAGAAUAAGCACCGGCUAACUACGUG